AGAACGAACGCUGGCGGCAGGCUUAACACAUGCAAGUCGAACGGUUGUAGCAAUACAGCAGUGGCAGACGGGUGAGUAACACGUGGGAACCUUCCUAGGGGUACGGAACAACUCAGGGAAACUUGAGCUAAUACCGUAUACGUCCGUAAGGAGAAAGAUUCAUCGCCCCUAGACGGGCCCGCGUAGGAUUAGGUAGUUGGUGAGGUAACGGCUCACCAAGCCUACGAUCCUUAGCUGAUCUGAGAGGAUGAUCAGCCACACUGGGACUGAGACACGGCCCAGACUCCUACGGGAGGCAGCAGUGGGGAAUCUUGGACAAUGGGGCGCGAAAGCCUGAU
rnacentral:rRNA from 1 species